rnacentral:misc_RNA from 1 species
GAAAUGCGAUAAGUAAUGUGAAUUGCAGAAUUCAGUGAAUCAUCGAAUCUUUGAACGCACAUUGCGCCCGCCAGUAUGCUGGCGGGCAUGCCUGUCCGAGCGUCAUUUCAACCAUCAAGCCCCCGGGCUUGUGUUGGGGACCUGCGGCUGCCCGCAGGCCCUGAAAACCAGUGGCGGGCUCGCUGUCACACCGAGCGUAGUAGCAAUCACCUCGCUCAGGGCGUGCUGCGGGUUCCGGCCGUUAAACAGCCUUACAAAACCCAAGGUUGACCUCGGAUCAGGUAGGAAGACCCGCUGAACUUAAGC